rnacentral:rRNA from 1 species
CCUAGGGUCUCUGCAGUGGGGAAUAUUGGACAAUGGGCGAAAGCCUGAUCCAGCCAUGCCGCGUGUGUGAAGAAGGCCUUCGGGUUGUAAAGCACUUUCAGUGGGGAAGAAAGCCUUGGGGCUAAUACCCUCGAGGAAGGACAUCACCCACAGAAGAAGCACCGGCUAACUCCGUGCCAGCAGCCGCGGUAAUACGGAGGGUGCGAGCGUUAAUCGGAAUUACUGGGCGUAAAGCGCGCGUAGGCGGUCUGAUAAGCCGGUUGUGAAAGCCCCGGGCUCAACCUGGGAACGGCAUCCGGAACUGUCAGGCUAGAGUGCAGGAGAGGAAGGUAGAAUUCCCGGUGUAGCGGUGAAAUGCGUAGAGAUCGGGAGGAAUACCAGUGGCGAAGGCGGCCUUCUGGACUGACACUGACGCUGAGGUGCGAAAGCGUGGGUAGCAAACAGGAUUAGAUACCCUGGUAGUC